rnacentral:lncRNA from 1 species
AUGCAGGGGCACAAUGAUAUAAACCAUAGAUACAGCUGUAAAAAAGACAUUCGCAUUAAAUUAAUAUCUGUAGGAGUGCAGGUAGAGAAAGAAAAAAAAAAAAAGAAGAAAAAGACAAUAGAAUUAAAUCUUAGUAAAAGUCCAGCUCAUGGCUCGACUUUACACGUGUUCUGGACCAGCCCUAACACAGUUGGGAUGAAGGAUGCUCAGGUGGGCACCCAAGGUCAGGAGCACAGAUAUGUUAGUAGGUGCCUGGGGGCUGUGAGCCCAUGCUGGGAGGCCACCAAGGGGCCCCGUGCGACCUCUGCCCCACGCAAUGCGGAGACCAGCCCUGUGAGAUGCAACAAGGGGACCCCCAUCCAGACCAUGCAUCACAGAACAGCUGCCCUCUGUGACCUCAGCAGCUGUCUAGCGUUUCAGCUCUUAUUUGAGGGCAGCAGCAGCAUGUUGGCAGACGUGUCCGGCACCAGCCCCAUGAGCCACAGUGAGAGGCAAUUUGGCCAUCAUGACUUUUUUUUUUAUGGCUGCAUCACCAGACCCACUUUGCACCUGCAUUCAUCCAUUAGCAGAGUUCAUCCCCAAAGUACUGCUUGGAGAGGAGCUCAGGAUUGCAAAGACCACUGAGGAGUAAAGAAUGUUCCUGUGUGCUGGGGCUUGAGAACCAGCCCCUGGAGCUUGGCUGGUGACCUGUGCAUCCUUGAAGCAGCCUGAUGCUCCACUGCUCUACUUGGACUCCACACAUCAUGCUGUAUGAUUUACCAUGAGAUUUUAAUUCCCAAACUCUAAUCCCUCUUCUUAAUUUCAGUUCCAUUUUCACAGGUCCCUAAUUUUUGUCAAUAAUCUGUGAGCAUUCCUAUUUGGCAUUAUGGUUGGUUGAGAUGUGGCCAGAUAAAGUGGAAGUUUCAGUUUGUGUGUGGUGGUUUUACUCGGGUGGGCGGCUGAGCUCCACCACAACUGCUCUCUCACUCCCCCUCCUCAAAGAGGAAUGGGGAGAAAAUACAAGGAAAAGGGCUUAAGGGUUGAGAUAAGGACAGGGAGAUCACGCAGUAAUUAUUGUGACAGGCAAAACAGACUCAGCAUAGGGAGAUAGUAAGAUUUAUUACCUAUUACUAACAAGCUAGAGAA